rnacentral:rRNA from 1 species
AUGAACGCUGGCGGCGUGCCUCAUACAUGCAAGUCGAGCGAACAGACGAGGAGCUUGCUCCUCUGACGUUAGCGGCGGACGGGUGAGUAACACGUGGAUAACCUACCUAUAAGACUGGGAUAACUUCGGGAAACCGGAGCUAAUACCGGAUAAUAUAUUGAACCGCAUGGUUCAAUAGUGAAAGACGGUUUUGCUGUCACUUAUAGAUGGAUCCGCGCCGCAUUAGCUAGUUGGUAAGGUAACGGCUUACCAAGGCAACGAUGCGUAGCCGACCUGAGAGGGUGAUCGGCCACACUGGAACUGAGACACGGUCCAGACUCCUACGGGAGGCAGCAGUAGGGAAUCUUCCGCAAUGGGCGAAAGCCUGACGGAGCAACGCCGCGUGAGUGAUGAAGGUCUUCGGAUCGUAAAACUCUGUUAUUAGGGAAGAACAAAUGUGUAAGUAACUAUGCACGUCUUGACGGUACCUAAUCAGAAAGCCACGGCUAAUUACGUG